GACGAACGCUGGCGGCGUGCUUAACACAUGCAAGUCGAACGGAAAGGCCCUGCUUUUGUGGGGUGCUCGAGUGGCGAACGCGUGAGUAACACGUGAGUAUCCUGCCCUUGACUUUGGGAUAACUUCAGGAAACUGGGGCUAAUACCGGAUAGGAGAUCCUGCUGCGUGGUGGGGGUUGGAUAGUUUCGGCGGUUGGGGAUGGACUCGCGGCUUAUCAGCUUGUUGGUGGGGUAGUGGCUUACCCAGCCUUUGACGGGUAGCCGGCCUGAGAGGGUGAACGGCCACAAUGCUACUGAGGUACGGACCAGUCUGCAACGUGAGGCAGCAGGCGGAAGUAUUGCCCAAUGGGCGCAAGCCUGAUGCAGCAGCGCCGCGGUCGUAAUGACGGCUUUCUGGUUGAAAACCGCUGUCGCCUGUGACGAAGCGUGAGUGACGGUAAUGAGUAAAUAAGCACCGGCUAACUACGUG
rnacentral:rRNA from 1 species